rnacentral:rRNA from 1 species
GACGAACGCUGGCGGCGUGCCUAAUACAUGCAAGUUGAGCGAUGAAGCUUGGUGCUUGCCCCAAUUUGAAGAGCAGCGAACGGGUGAGUAACGCGUGGGGAAUCUGCCUUUGAGCGGGGGACAACAUUUGGAAACGAAUGCUAAUACCGCAUAACAACUUUAAACAUAAGUUUUAAGUUUGAAAGAUGCAAUUGCAUCACUCAAAGAUGAUCCCGCGUUGUAUUAGCUAGUUGGUGAGGUAAAGGCUCACCAAGGCGAUGAUACAUAGCCGACCUGAGAGGGUGAUCGGCCACAUUGGGACUGAGACACGGCCCAAACCCCUACGGGAGGCAGCAGUAGGGAAUCUUCGGCAAUGGACGAAAGUCUGACCGAGCAACGCCGCGUGAGUGAAGAAGGUUUUCGGAUCGUAAAACUCUGUUGGUAGAGAAGAACGUUGGUGAGAGUGGAAAGCUCAUCAAGUGACGGUAACUACCCAGAAAGGGACGGCUAACUACGUG